CAAUAGAAUCAGAAAUUAAAAAAAAAAAAAACCUAAAACUAAUACCCAAAAAUAAAAUCAAAAACCCACUUUCCCAAAUCCCAUUUCCUUCUCGUCACCUUCACCGCCAUUUCUCUUCUUCUUCCUUCUCAUCCCUUCUCCUUCUUUCUCAUAUAAACCGACCUUCCCUUUUCUCUGUGCAGCAAAAUCAGGCGGCGGCUUUCACCGAACACGAACACCACUUCUCACGGUGGUUCUACAACCAAUUACCGGUGUUCCUCUUUUUGUAUUUGUUAGUGUAAACAAACUAAGUUGCUAAAGAAUACUGACAUUCCGGAGAGUCCCAUGUUUAAACCCGAAGCCGGAGCAAGAGGUUAUUUUUGUCGACGAAGCUGGCUGUCCUGAGGAGCGUGUCGCAGAAGCCUUCAAGUGCCUCUCUGAAUAUGAUCCUGCAGGCUGUUGGGAAGAUGAUUUGACAAAAUCGUUUCGUUAUUGGAAGAUACGUGAUUUUGCAUAUGCUUAUCGUGCCAAGCUUGUUACCCCAUCGAUGAUUGCUGAGAGAAUAAUCUCAGCCUUGGAGGUCUUUAAUAAAGAAAAUCCGACCACUGCAUUACUCAUAUCUUUUGACGCUGAGGAUGUAAGGGCGCAAGCAGCUGCUUCUACUCAAAGAUUUGAAGAAGGAAAACCUAUAUCAAUUUUGGACGGAGUAUUCAUGACAAUCAAGGAUUAUAUAGAUUGUUACCCUUAUCCAUCUAAUGGUACAACCAAAAUGACUAUUGUUUGCUAAUCUUUGAAACAGUCGUAUUAUUAGAAGAUUUCAUUAGUCGUUUUUAACGCCUAAUUUUUCUUAUAUAUUUGUUCGUUACUAAUUAUAAUUUAAUUAGUGAUGGUAGUAAUUUGAAAAAUCUCUACGAUGAUUAGAAACUUGUUAAUUCGUAACAUGAUUAUGAAUCGAAACAAGUAACGUAAACUUUGGAGGUAAAAACUUAAAAUUGAGCAACUACCCAUAACAGUUCAAAAAAAAAAAUUUUUAAUUAUUACCCAAGCAUAUUAUAUAACCAUGAUGGGAGUAAAUUAAAUAUUUCACACAUAUACAAGUGAUUUUUAAACAUGAAGUACAAGUUACAUAACUUGUUACAUGUACAACAAUUUUUACCCAAACUUUAAACUAUCUUAGAUAAACCUUUAUUAUACCAUAAUAGACCAAAUUGAGGACAAAAAGCACUCCAAACCAGCCCCAAAACAGCAGCCCCUAGCUGUCAUACUAGCCCUCUUUUAGCCCCAAAACUCACUUACACACUCCACCAAACUCUCUACCCAAAGCCCCUAUUGUUCUUACCCAAAAACACCAUCAUAACAAGCAUGCAAACAUAAUAAAUCAAGACAUAUUUGCUGUCCAUAUUUUCAGCUCCAUCAACCUUCUUUCACUCUUCAUUUUACUCCUUAUUUCAUCCAUAAGCAAAGUUGAAGUUCAAUCUUACAAUUUCUAGCAAAAACACCUUAUUUUCUCAUCAAAUCUUCUUCAAAAACCCAUCUAAAACUUCUGAAAAUUUAUGUUUAUAAACUCAAAUCUCCCAUAAAAAUAAUCUUCAUCUUAAGAGCUUUCCAUAGACACCAAACUUGAAGAAAUCCACCAAGUAUAGAGUUUAGUUGAAGAGUUGGAGUUGAGACUUGAAGGGCAAGGACCCAAAGUUAGAACCACUUCUAAGAACACGUAGGAGCUUACGUGGGAGCUUACGGAAUAAUUAUAUAGGCUUGGAGUCGAGAGUAAACCCCUAUGGCACCUCGACGGAGAAUGGAUAUGCGAGCGGAAGAUGAACCUGAGUUGGAGUAUGACUCCCCUUUGUUUAGAUCUCGUUAUUUUAUUUGAGAGACUGUUAGUUUAGAUUUAGACUAUUUUAAGGAUGUCAUUUGAACUUUGGACUUAUUUCGAUUUGGUUGUAAUUUUCCUAUAUUUUGGACAGUUAAUACUUCCGUUAUAUUGCUUUGGUUUGGUUCAAGUAUUAUACUUGAAUAUUGGUUUGACCUUUAAGUAACCCCUUAAUUGUGUUGGCAAAAGUAAGCUUCCGCUUGAUUAAUACUAAAUUCCAGUUAGUGUUUGCCUUCAUAAUUCGAGGCGGUUACAAUCUUUCUACACGCAUGAAGCUCAC